AUCCUGGCUCAGAUUGAACGCUGGCGGCAUGCCUAACACAUGCAAGUCGAACGGCAGCACAGCAGUAGCAAUACUGUGGGUGGCGAGUGGCGGACGGGUGAGGAAUACGUCGGAAUCUGCCCAGUCGUGGGGGAUAACUAGCCGAAAGGUUAGCUAAUACCGCAUACGACCGAGAGGUGAAAGCGGGGGACCGCAAGGCCUCGCGCGAUUGGAUGAGCCGACGUCGGAUUAGGUAGUUGGUGAGGUAAUGGCUCACCAAGCCUACGAUCAGUAGCUGGUCUGAGAGGACGAACAGCCACACUGGAACUGAGACACGGUCCAGACUCCUACGGGAGGCAGCAGUGGGGAAUUUUGGACAAUGGGGAGCAAUCCUGAUCCAGCAAUGCCGCGUGUGGGAUGACGGGGCUUUGCCUUGUAAACCACUGUCGGACGGGACGAGAAGAGGUAAGAACCUCUGGGACGGUACCGUCAAAGGAAGGAUCGGCUAACUACGUG
rnacentral:rRNA from 1 species